AGGGCCUUGCGCUUCCUAGGCAAGCGCUCUACCACUGAGCUAAAUCCCCAACCCCAGUUGGUUCUUUCUUAAAGUGAUGUUUUCAGACUUGGCAACAAGUGCCUGUAUUAGUAAGAAGCCCUACCAGCCUGAUAUUUAUAAGAUGGAAAACAAAGGCCUAGCCUGUUAACUUUUCAGGAGUCAUAUGUUGAUUCUUCAAUUUGAUGGAUAAAGACAACUCUGUUCAAGAAAAAAGUCCUGGUACUGAAAUUCAGGUGGACAGACUUGGUGG
rnacentral:sRNA from 1 species